rnacentral:rRNA from 1 species
GUGGGGAAUAUUGGACAAUGGGCGAAAGCCUGAUCCAGCCAUGCCGCGUGUGUGAAGAAGGUCUUCGGAUUGUAAAGCACUUUAAGUUGGGAGGAAGGGCAGUAAGUUAAUACCUUGCUGUUUUGACGUUACCGACAGAAUAAGCACCGGCUAACUUCGUGCCAGCAGCCGCGGUAAUACGAAGGGUGCAAGCGUUAAUCGGAAUUACUGGGCGUAAAGCGCGCGUAGGUGGUUUUGUAAGUUGGAGGUGAAAUCCCCGGGCUCAACCUGGGAACUGCCUCCAAAACUGCAUGACUAGAGUACGGUAGAGGGUAGUGGAAUUUCCUGUGUAGCGGUGAAAUGCGUAGAUAUAGGAAGGAACACCAGUGGCUAAGGCGACUACCUGGACUGAUACUGACACUGAGGUGCGAAAGCGUGGGGAGCAAACAGGAUUAGAAACCCGUGUAGUCC